UACGGGGGGGGCAAGCGUUGUUCGGAAUUACUGGGCGUAAAGGGCUCGUAGGCGGCCAACUAAGUCAAACGUGAAAUCCCUCGGCUUAACCGGGGAACUGCGUCUGAUACUGGAUGGCUUGAGUUUGGGAGAGGGAUGCGGAAUUCCAGGUGUAGCGGUGAAAUGCGUAGAUAUCUGGAGGAACACCCGUGGCGAAGGCGGCAUCCUGGACCAACACUGACGCUGAGGA
rnacentral:rRNA from 1 species